rnacentral:rRNA from 1 species
CCUACGGGAGGCAGCAGUGGGGAAUAUUGGGCAAUGGGCGCAAGCCUGACCCAGCAACGCCGCGUGAAGGAAGAAGGCUUUCUGGUUGUAAACUUCUUUUCUCAGGGACGAAGCAAGUGACGGUCCCUGAGGAAUAAGCCACGGCUACCUACGUGCCCGCAGCCGCGGUAAUACGUAGGUGGCGAGCGUUAUCCGGAUUUACUGGGUGUAAAGGGCGUGUAGGCGGGACUGCAAGUCAGAUGGGAAAACCACGGGCUCAACCUGUGGCCUGCAUUUGAAACUGUAGUUCUUGAGUACUGGAGAGGCAGAUGGAAUUCCUAGUGUAGCGGUGAAAUGCGUAGAUAUUAGGAGGAACACCAGGGGCGAAGGCGGUCUGCUGGACAGCAACUGACGCUGAGGCGCGAAAGCGUGGGGAGCAAACAGGAUUAGAUACCCGGGUAGUC